GACGGGGGGAGCAAGCGUUGUUCGGAAUCACUGGGCGUAAAGGGCGUGUAGGCGGUCAAGUAAGUGGGAUGUGAAAUGCUCCGGCUCACCCGGAGCCCUGCAUCCCAAACUGCCUGGCUUGAGUAUGGGAGAGGAUGAGGGAAUUCCUGGUGUAGCGGUGAAAUGCGUAGAUAUCAGGAGGAACACCGGUGGCGAAAGCGCUCAUCUGGCCCAAUACUGACGCUGAUGCGCGAAAGCUAGGGGAGCAAACGGG
rnacentral:rRNA from 1 species